rnacentral:misc_RNA from 1 species
GAACUGCGAUAAGUAAUGUGAAUUGCAGAAUUCAGUGAAUCAUCGAGUCUUUGAACGCACAUUGCGCCCCCUGGCAUUCCGGGGGGCAUGCCUGUCCGAGCGUCAUUGCUGCCCUUCAGGCCCGGCUUGUGUGUUGGGUCGUCGUCCCCUCCGGGGGACGGGCCCGAAAGGCAGCGGCGGCACCGCGUCCGGUCCUCGAGCGUAUGGGGCUUUGUCACCCGCUCGAUAAGGACCGGCCGGGCGCCAGCCGGCGUCUCCAACCUUUUUUUCUCAGGUUGACCUCGGAUCAGGUAGGGAUACCCGCUGAACUUAAGC